rnacentral:rRNA from 1 species
GACGAACCGUGCGAACGUUAUUCGGAAUCACUGGGCUUAAAGUGCGUGUAGGCGGGCCGGCACGUCGGAUGUUGAAAGCCCCCGGCUCAACCGGGGAAGUGGCACCGAUACGACCGGCCUGGAGGGGGGUAGGGGGAGCCGGAACUUCCGGUGGAGCGGUGAAAUGCGUUGAGAUCGGAAGGAACGCCCGUGGCGAAAGCGGGCUCCUGGACCCCACCUGACGCUGAGACGCGAAAGCCAGGGGAGCGAACGGG